rnacentral:rRNA from 1 species
ACUCCUACGGGAGGCAGCAGUGGGGAAUAUUGCACAAUGGGCGCAAGCCUGAUGCAGCCAUGCCGCGUGUGUGAAGAAGGCCUUCGGGUUGUAAAGCACUUUCAGUCGUGAGGAAGGUAGUGUAGUUAAUAGCUGCAUUAUUUGUACGUUAGCGACAGAAGAAGCACCGGCUAACUCCGUGCCAGCAGCCGCGGUAAUACGGAGGGUGCGAGCGUUAAUCGGUAAUUACUGGGCGUAAAGCGCAUGCAGGUGGUUUGUUAAGUCAGAUGUGAAAGCCCGGGGCUCAACCUCGGAAUUGCAUUUGAAACUGGCAGACUAGAGUACUGGUAGAGGGGGUAGAAUUUCAGGUGUAGCGGUGAAAUGCGUAGAGAUCUGAAGGAUACCGGUGGCGAAGCGGCCCCUGGACAGAUACUGACACUCAGAUGCGAAAGCGUGGGAGCAAACAGGAUUAGAUACCCCUGGUAGCGACUGA